CAGAAGAGACUCAGUAUUAGGAGCACAGCUAACACUCAGCAACAGGAAUGCAUAUUUCAUUAUACUCAACUGGUUAGCGACCAUUACUAAUGAGCUGCAUGUCUACCAGCUGCAGAUGUAGAAACAUUUACACUGUGUGUGUCUGUGAAUUGUUGGUUCAGACUUCACACUGCCAGGGGCAAUAAACAAAUCAUUCUGCUUUGCUUCCUCCCCCACAUCCCUUCUCCUCCUCCCUGCUCUGCCUCUCUCUAUCCCUCUGGGCACCCAAGCAGAGAGAGAGGAAGAAAAAUAGAGAGAGUGAGAGGGAAAGUGGGAGUAAGAAGGUGGAAUGUUGAAUGCAGCAGAACAGUGGACCUGAUGGGUAAUUCUGUGACUGAGCCUGAAGUUUUGGUUUGGCUGUGAUGUGUUCUGCAAACACUGGCUCACACAAAGCAGGACUACAUUGCCGCGCAGGACUACAUUACCGCGCAUGUCUACCUUACAGCGCGGGACUACAUUACCGCGCAUGUCUACAUUACCGUGCAGGCGCAGAACUACCUUACCGCUCAGGACUACAUUACCGCGCAGGACUACAUUACCACGCAGCACUACAUUACCACACAGGACUACAUUACCACACAGGACUACAUUACCACGCCAGUAGAUAAAAUGAUUCAAGCAAACAAAGGGACAGAGGGAGCAUGUGGAAGCAUGUAAGACGGCUUUUGAACUAGGAGUGUGUGAAAGUGUGUGUAACAGAGAGAGACAGUGUGUGUGGCAUGUCUGAGUAGUCCGCACCAUUCCGAAUUGGGGGUCAAGCUUGGACUUGAGGCUAGUGGGGCUCUUAUCGGAGCUAGCUGUAAUGCAUUCCCAGAGAUGAAUCUUCUCCUGGUAUCAGCAAGGCUAUCACACUGCUGCAGAUAGGUAGGUAUCCCGCUCACCUAAACAUAGCGACUCACGUCUUCAGGCCAUUACACUAAUUUAAUUUGAGACUCCUCACAUACAUUCAGUGGUGAGUGAGUAGGAAUGGUGCGCACUACUCAGACAUGCCACACUCACUGUCUCUCUGUUACACACACUUUCACACACUCCUAGUUCAAAAGCCAUCUUGCAUGCUUCCACAUGCUCCCUCUGUCCCUUUGUUUGCUUUAAUCAUUUUAUCUACUGGCGUGGUAAUGUAGUCCUGUGUGGUAAUGUAGUCCUGUGUGGUAAUGUAGUCCUGUGUGGUAAUGUAGUCCUGUGUGGUAAUGUAGUCCUGUGUGGUAAUGUAGUCCUGUGUGGUAAUGGAGUGAGUGAGUGAGUGAGUGAGUGUGGACACUACAGUGCUCAUUUGUCUCCGUCCAUCACUGUGAUGGGGAUUCUUAAUCCCUCCUCUCCCAUUGUGUUUCCAGGAGGUGAAGUGGGACGGUGAUGCACCAUAGGAGCUGAUAACUCCAGCAGGAAGUGGAGCAGGGCCAGGUGAACCAGCCGAGGUCACAGACCUACCUCCAGGGGACCUCUGGGUCUUUCUAGAGAUCAGACAGUGUACCUGUGCCCGCGGAUGUCAGACUGGUCACACACCCCUCCCAGGGCAAUACGGUGGAACUCCCUGCCCAGGGUACGGGCGAUGGAGCGCCCCACACUGGUCUUUCCCACCCCAGGCGGCCCCACGAAGCACAGGAUGGGCCCCUUGAGGGUGCUCUUCAGCUGCCUCACAGCCAGGUACUCCAGCACUCUCCUCUUCAGCUUCUCCAUGGCAUAGUGGUCACUGUCCAACAGCACCCGCGCAGCACGGAUAUCAAGACAGUCUGCAGAGACAAUGCAGAUCAGGGUUUAAUUCCAACACCGUGAAUAUUGUCAAAGACCUUAUCUAAUGUCAACCAAGUGAUUAAGAUAACCAUUCAUCUAGAUUGUAAUAACAAGUAUUGUUUUAUGUCGCUACAUGACUAAGCAGACAUAUGGUAUGGACUCCCCUGUGUGGUAAUGCUGAAUCAUCUAAAUGUCCCCAAUACUCUCAGUGUCUAAUGACUGGCUAUAGAGGACAAAGCAACCAGUGACAAAAUAUGAUAUUGAGCUCCCUCCAGUGGUAGAAGCCUUUAAUUCCAUUUUGAACAGAGAGUUCAAAAAAGAGAGCUGUGGUGGACUUCCUCGGGGUACACUUUGGUUUCUACCCCUUGUCCCAAAAAAAUGCCCUAUCCCAUUAGAGAUUUUCAAGGUAUAACGUGCAUAUGAUGUGCUCUGUAUGUAUGGAUAUGUACAUUUCUAAGUUCAAAGAAUAAAGUGUAAAAGAAUAAAGAAAUGAAUCUGA